ACUGUAUCCACUUACAUCAACUGAAGAUGGCCAUCUGUGAGCAAACAAAAAUCUGCUACCCCUUGUAUCUGAAUGAAGAAUUUCGGAUAUCAGUGACUAAAUAAGCUGGCAUUGGUGGUAGAACGUGUGGCAGAGGAGAUUAGUCAAAGGCUGAUGAAACAGAAAGUGCUGCACCUUGAUUUUUUGGGUACCUUUUGGGAUUAUAACUCUUGGCAUUAUUCCAGCUAACAUGGAUCAAAUUACCCGCUGCUUCUGACACUACAAAAUGAAAAAUUAAAGUUGAGAAAGAACAGAAUGGCUUGGAACCAGAAUAGCAAAUUGUAGUAAGAUACCAGCUCUGCUUCUUUCUGGAGCUGAUGAGACCUUAGCAGCCACUUAACUGCCAGUGUCUCUUGCAAGAGCGACAGCAUAAAGAAUAACGGCAAUGGAGAGACAAGGGAGAGUCUGCAAAGCGUGGAAGAAGGAAAGAGAGACCAAAGGGACAACCAGUCUGCAGUCUGCCAUAAUCAAUUCACAAGCUUCUGAUGACUUGUGAGCAUUGCCACAGCCAAGAAGGUUUCCUUGGACUGAUUCAAACCAUCACAGGAGGCUGGUGCUCGGUUUCGUUCAUCUCAAGUCCAGCAAGUUUGUCAGUGGCAGAUUCUCUGCAGUUCCCCAGCUUCCCUUAGUGUGUGAUUGGUGCUUUUCUCUCUCACUCAGGAGAAAUGAAAUGGUACGGAGGGCUUAUUUACUUGCUGCCAUCUAAGAAGAAGGGACAGCAGCAUGGUUAUCUAGGUAGUGAUGACAAACAAUGAAGGGUGAAAUCGGUAUAUUCCUGAAGAGGAGCCAUCAUGGCAGGCCACUUCUGAUAUUCUUGAUGAAGAGUCAAGAUCUUUGGGGGAAAUAUGAAAUUUUAGAGUGGAAAAACUGGAUUUUGUGAAAAUGGCACUUUCUAUUGUAAUGAUUUCCCCGCGAAAAUGCUAACCCUCUCCACUGGCUGGCAAAGUGUUUUGGCUAGUAAGAGAGCAAAGAGAAAUGUCUUCAAAGGUCUGGACAGCAUCAAAGUUAAUUAGAUCUGGAUUCUCUCGGAGCGAUUAUGUGACCUCUCUCUUAGGAUGACACACAAUACCUUAUUUUAUACCAAAGACCCUCCUGGGUAGGAAUGGUCACUGAAAGACCCUUCAUUCUUUGACAAUCCCAGCGCUCAAACUAGAUCUUCCAGCUUUGUGGAGACACUUCACUGAACACUCUUGAAUAUGUGCUAAGAAAGGGAGGUGCUUCUCUCAGGACUCUAAUGCACAGAUUUCCUACAAUGUCUAGUAAUGAUUGUCUCAUUAGCUAGUUACUUUGAAUUCACUGCUAACUCAAGAGAAGCUAAAGCAAAAUGAAUUAUUUGUUUCUAUUAACCAAAAUAGGUACC